rnacentral:rRNA from 1 species
UACGGAAUGUGCAAACGUUAUUCGGAAUCACUGGGCUUAAAGAGUCCGUAGGCGGCAUGUUAGGUGAGGUGUGAAAUCCCCCGGCUCAACCGAGGAAUUGCGCUUCAAACCGGCGUGCUUGAGGAAGAUAGAGGUGGGCGGAACUGAUGGUGGAGCGGUGAAAUGCGUUGAUAUCAUCAGGAACACCGGAGGCGAAGGCGGCCCACUGGGUCUUUUCUGACGCUGAUGCGCGAAAGCUAGGGGAGCAAACGGG